AUUGAACGCUGGCGGUAUGCUUAACACAUGCAAGUCGAACGGCAGCACGAGAGAGCUUGCUCUCUUGGUGGCGAGUGGCGGACGGGUGAGUAACGCGUAGGAAUCUGCCUAGUAGUGGGGGACAACUCGGGGAAACUCGAGCUAAUACCGCAUACGCCCUACGGGGGAAAGCGGGGGGAUCUUCGGACCUCGCGCUAUUAGAUGAGCCUGCGUUGGAUUAGCUUGUUGGUGAGGUAAUGGCUCACCAAGGCGACGAUCCAUAGCUGGUCUGAGAGGACGAUCAGCCACACUGGGACUGAGACACGGCCCAGACUCCUACGGGAGGCAGCAGUGGGGAAUAUUGGACAAUGGGCGAAAGCCUGAUCCAGCAAUACCGCGUGUGUGAAGAAGGCCUGCGGGUUGUAAAGCACUUUCAAUUGGGAAGAAAAGCUUAGGGUUAAUAACUCUGAGUCUUGACGUUACCUUUAGAAGAAGCACCGGCUAACUCCGUGCCAGCAGCCGCGGUAAUACGGAGGGUGCAAGCGUUAAUCGGAAUUACUGGGCGUAAAGCGCGCGUAGGUGGUUUUGUAAGUCAGAUGUGAAAGCCCUGGGCUCAACCUGGGAAUUGCAUUUGAUACUGCAUGACUAGAGUAUAGUAGAGGGAAGCGGAAUUCCGGGUGUAGCGGUGAAAUGCGUAGAUAUCCGGAGGAACAUCAGUGGCGAAGGCGGCUUCCUGGACUAAUACUGACACUGAGGUGCGAAAGCGUGGGUAGCAAACAGGAUUAGAUACCCUGGUAGUCCACGCCGUAAACGAUGUCAACUAGCCGUUGAACUCAUUAUAAGGGUUUAGUGGCGAAGCUAACGCGAUAAGUUGACCGCCUGGGGAGUACGGCCACAAGGUUA
rnacentral:rRNA from 1 species